CACGUAGUUAGCCGGCGCUUCUUCUGCAGGUACCGUCACUCAAGAGCUUCUUCCCUGCUGAAAGAGGUUUACAACCCGAAGGCCUUCAUCCCUCACGCGGCGUCGCUGCAUCAGGCUUGCGCCCAUUGUGCAAUACUUCCCCACUGCUCGCCUCCCGUAGGAGUCUGGGCCGUGUCUCAGUCCCAGUGUGGCCGGUCGCCCUCUCAGGCCGGCUACCCGUCGUCGCCUUGGUGAGCCGUUACCUCACCAACAAGCUGAUAGGCCGCGGGCCCAUCCCGCACCGCCGGAGCUUUCCACCCAAGACCAUGCGACCUUGAGUCAUAUCCGGUAUUAGACCCCGUUUCCAGGGCUUAUCCCAGUGUGCGGGGUCAGGUUGCCCACGUGUUACUCACCCGUUCGCCACUAAUCCCUCCCGAAGGAGGUUCAUCGUUCGACUUGCAUGUGUUAAGCACGCCGCCAGCGUGUCCUCGUAGCCUACGGACGUCAAACGUACCU
rnacentral:rRNA from 1 species